GGCCUCAUCCAGGGAGGCCUACGCAGAGCCUGGUGCGCCCUCUAGGACUUUACCCAGAAGGCCGCGCUUCACUCAGGCCAACAUGGCUGGCAGGCCUGCUGGUAGGUGGCCGGGCCCGCUUUGGUGGAUAUCGCAGUUUUAUUUUUCCAGCAAUUUGCCCACCUUCUGUUGUAGCUGAGUCUUGCGCGGAAGGUUCGUGGCGGCCCAGUCCCACCCGAAGGACUGGUUUCUCUGUGCCAGGCCCAGCUUGAAGUUUGGAACGGGGACCUCUGUCGGAAGGAGCUGGCCAUGGCGGGACAGCGGUUUGAUCUCCUUCCCCUCCGCUUGGGGCGGUGAGGAGUUGCAGUGUCAAGCAAGUGGCUGGAUGGUUUUUGAAGUGCUAUUGUGGUGCUGCAGGAUUCAGCAGACAGCGAACUGGUUAAUGUGGGACGGCGGCACAGCACAGGAGACUGAAGAUGUGUAAGAGAGCCCUAGACCUGACCAUGAGGCAUCAGGUCGUGCCUGUGGAGCUGGGGACAAGCUAUGACGCAGUAGAGCAGGACAAAUUCUACCUUAAGCCCUAACUGAAAGAAAGGAGAGAGAAGAAUGGGCAAAAAGUGAUCUGUAGUUGAAAUCUGUGGACCUCAUCUCAAUGUAUUUUUAUGAAGUUGAUUCAAUCCGAUUCACAAUUUAAGAAUUAUCUGUCUACAGAUGCCUCACUUUAAAUAAAUGUCAAUUAUAACCAUUGUUGGGAUGUUUGCAUUCAAACUCUUUCUCUGAGAAUUGAAUUCACUUUUCUGACCAUUUCUUCCAGACUUUCUAAUAUAGUUUUAGUUGCAGAUCAGCUGCUUGGAGAUGAGAGAGGCUGCCUUAGUCAUUUCUUCAUUGGCUGGAGAUCAGCCAGGUUACUAAAGGACACAGCAUUCCCUACAAGCUGAAUGGCUGUAGGUUUGAGGAAGUCAUAGCAAGGCCUAACCUGCAGGUAGUAAUAGGGGAAGCGAGACCAGCUCUGAACAAGUAUCAUCUUCCAAAGUAACGAAUGGAAAGAAAGGAAAGUUGACUCUGCGUUCCCAGGACUGGGGAAUGGCCUCUCCCAACUCUCCCAACUGCUCUCUACCUAGAUUUAUUUUGCAUCCUGCCAUCCUGAAAUAAAAUUUGUAAGUAUCCUAAUCUGGAUUUACGUAACUUCUCUAUAUGUACAGGUACACGUGCCCCAGUGCUGAUCAAUAUAUAGGUUAGAAAAUUAAAAAGUAAAGUAUAGGAAUAUGAGGGAAAACACUAAGACAAACCAUACUUGCUUUUAAAUGCUUCUUUGAGAACUAGAACUGAGCUGGGCAGAGUGCACUCACCUUUAAUCCCAGCACUGAGGACACAGGCAAGCUUGAUCUACAUAGUGAGUUACAGAACUGUGAGGGCCAUGUAGACCCUGUCUCAACACAAAACCCCACAUACCUAGGUGCUAAUCAGCAGAGACUUUUCGAAUCAUAGGCUUAUUUAAAAAUACAUGUUAUUCUCCCUGCUGUGACUUUUGAGGCUCCUUGGUAGAAGUGAGUGAUGACCUGCAGUGGGCAAGGCAGUAAGAGGAACUCCUGCCCUGUGCACAGGAGCUUCCGAUGGUGAGCUACAGACAGCAAAGUUCCAUUACAGUGAAAGCCCACAGACUCACCCAAGUGUGCAUGUGCAUGUUACACUCCAUUCACAUACAAAAGAUGUUCAAAAAGACACUUCUGUUGACCUUUACAACAUGAUCCUAAUGUAUUUUAAAGUCAGAUGUUCUAGGUAGGCAUGGUGGCAUACUCUUGUAAUCCCAGCACUUGGGAGACAGAUGUCUGGCUUUUGAGUUUGAGAUCAGCCUGGGUUGUACAGUGAGACUAUUAAAAAAGAUUAAAUCUUAAAAGAUUGGAAAACAUUAGAAAGCUAAUUUACUUAAUUUCCAGAAAAAACUUUCCUCUGAUCCUCGGUUAUAUUUUGAAACCCAUCUUGAAAUUUAUUCUUUUCAGUUCUCCAGUGAGGUAGCACCUUCCUUU